rnacentral:rRNA from 1 species
AUUGAACGCUAGCGGGAUGCCUUACACAUGCAAGUCGAACGAGCGGCGGACGGGUGAGUAAUAUAUCGGGACGUGCCCAAUAGCGGGGGAUAACUACUCGAAAGAGUGGCUAAUACCGCAUACUAUCGGAGCGACCCAUAUCGGAUUAGCUAGUUGGUGGGGUAAAGGCUCACCAAGGCAACGAUCCGUAGCUGGUUUGAGAGGACGACCAGCCACACUGGGACUGAGACACGGCCCAGACUCCUACGUGAGGCAGCAGUGGGGAAGUUUGGACAAUGGGGGAAAGCCUGAUCCAGCCAUCCCGCGUGUAUGAGAAGGCCUUAGGGUUGUAAAGUACUUUUGGCAGAGAAGCGUUAUCUGCAGAAGAAGCACCGGCUAACUACGUGCCAGCAGCCGCGGUAAUUC